rnacentral:rRNA from 1 species
UACGUAGGGUGCGAGCGUUAAUCGGAAUUACUGGGCGUAAAGCGUGCGCAGGCGGUUUUGUAAGACAGAGGUGAAAUCCCCGGGCUCAACCUGGGAACUGCCUUUGUGACUGCAAGGCUUGAGUGCGGCAGAGGGGGAUGGAAUUCCGCGUGUAGCAGUGAAAUGCGUAGAUAUGCGGAGGAACACCGAUGGCGAAGGCAAUCCCCUGGGCCUGCACUGACGCUGAGGAGCGAAAGCGUGGGGAGCGAACAGG